rnacentral:rRNA from 1 species
GACGAACGCUGGCGGCGUGCCUAAUACAUGCAAGUUGAGCGCUGAAGGUUGGUACUUGUACCAACUGGAUGAGCAGCGAGCGGGUGAGUAACGCGUGGGGAAUCUGCCUUUGAGCGGGGGACAACAUUUGGAAACGAAUGCUAAUACCGCAUAAAAACUUUAAACACAAGUUUUAAGUUUGAAAGAUGCAAUUGCAUCACUCAAAGAUGAUCCCGCGUUGUAUUAGCUAGUUGGUGAGGUAAAGGCUCACCAAGGCGAUGAUACAUAGCCGACCUGAGAGGGUGAUCGGCCACAUUGGGACUGAGACACGGCCCAAACUCCUACGGGAGGCAGCAGUAGGGAAUCUUCGGCAAUGGACGAAAGUCUGACCGAGCAACGCCGCGUGAGUGAAGAAGGGUGUCGGAUCGUAAAACUCUGUUGGUAGAGAAGAACGUUGGUGAGAGUGGAAAGCUCAUCAAGUGACGGUAACUACCCAGAAAGGGACGGCUAACUACGUG